UUUUUCUACUAAUGUUUUUUAGUUAACCUUGAAUAUAUGAAAUAGUUGGUUCAUUGUUAAAUGUUCUUAGCCAGUCCCUUAGGUGAAGGAUGUAGAUUAUUUCGAUCUUUAUAUUAUCUUUAUAUCGAUCUUUAUAUUAAUGGGGUUUUUGGUUUUACAUAACCAAACAUUUUUGAAGUCCUCAAAUUAAUAUUGGAAAUAAUUACCAUUUCUCUGUACGUUUUAAACCGAUUGAACAUCCAAUAUAUCUAUAAAUUUUCAUGUCCAAUAUAUCUAUAAAUUGUCAUGUAACUAUCUUUGUCUGGUUCAAUACCAUUUCAUUAAGGUAUAUAAAAUGUAUGUAGAUGGCUAUUACUAUCUUAAUCUCAUGUUAUUUCAGAUAAGUCAUAUUUUAUAUUCCUAUUUCAAAUGCAAUGCCAUUAUUUGUUCAUGUUUUCAAACUCAAAAUAGUUCAAGGUUACCUGAGAUUAGUUUUUGUUCCAUUUUUAAUGGUUGUUUUUUUUAUGUUAUUGCUUCUAAAAAGUUUUCCUCGAUUAUUUCUUCUUCUCUUUACUUUUGUUUACCGGUUUAUAUGAGAAAUCAAACGAAGUAUAUGUUUUUAGCCAUUUGGAAGAAAACUAACCCUCAUGUGAUGUCGUACCCACCUUGACUACCUAGGGAAGCCACCUUGACCUUAUUGCAGCUACCGCCAAGUCAAACUGGGAGUAUGUUUUGGGAACAAGCUUUUUGGGGGACAUUCCAGCUCCUUUUCGUCCUGCCACCUGGGCCUACGGGGGGGCAUGGAGGUGCAUCAUAGUGAUGCUCAUUUUCUAGGAUGCAACCGCAACCUCGUUUGGGAACAUUUAGUGAGGAGUUUUAGUAACUAUUGGUUUUUUUUAUAUUUCAGACUAUCUGUUAAAUACACUAUGUUUUUUUUCCAGAUUUAGGUUACCUCUGUUUUUUUUGACAUAUGUAUUUGUAUAUUAGAUUAUUUGGUUCCCAAACUUUGUAUCUACGGUAACUUCUUGUGCACAGGAAUAAGCCUAGAGAAAAUUAGGUUUUUAAUACUUUAUUAUUGCUUUGAUAUUGGUUUAUGUAAUUCGGGUAAAUUUAUUUUGUAACAUUACUUGCUUGUUUCCCAAAUAUUGUAUUUAUUCGCUUUAUUUCGUUUGUUCGGUUACUUCGUCGUUACUUUAUUUCAUUGCAUUUGCUCGGUUAAUUUAGGUCAUUUUGUCGGUAUUUUUCUUAACUUCACUUCUAUAACGUUUAUUCAUUUGUAUAUUUAAUUUUGCUUUAUUCAGUAUUGUAUUUUCUCUUAGUGAGGCUUGGGCCUAUUUAUUUGUAUUAUUUUCAUCUUCGUCGGUUUCCUUUAGUUGUACGUAGCAGGCGUACUAUAACCAUUUGGUAGAAGACUUAUGUAAUUUUGUACCCUAUAUGUUAGUGAGAGGUACUUAUACCUGUAAUUUUGUAACAGGUAACAUUGUUGUUAUCUUAGGUUGAACAUAACUUUUGCAAACUUUUGUCAUGUUAGAGUCACAUAAUAUGAACUUGUUUAACUCAGAGAUUGUUAAAAAUCUAGUAGUUAUUUUUAAUAAAUAUGUAUUUAUUUUGUAUAUCAUGAAUUUUAUUAUUCCUUUAUGUUCAUUAUUACAGGUUUAAUAUAUUUAAUAUUUGACAGCAGUAUAAGAUACCUGGGAAAAUGAUCGAAGAUCAUUUUCAUGGCGCCCAUGAUUAGUUAGUUUUAUUUAUUUUGUUCGUUUUUAGUCAUUAGUCAUCUCCAUUCAUUUUCAGUACAUUAUUCUUAUUUUAUUAUUUCAUCUUUUAGUCAUCAUUACUAUCUAUAUAGAGCUACUGUUCUUCGACAGGCAUGCAAACGAGCCGUAUCCAUCCUUGAGUGUCAAGUUGCUCUCUUGCAUCUAUAGCUAGCCAACUCUAUUCAGUUUGCCUCUGUCUCUUCCCACUUUACUUCUAUCCCUUCUAAUCCCCCUUUCUUCAGUACUACUGAAAAGUAGUAUUUUUUAUUUUUCCUACUUCGGCUCAACCGCUGAAGCCCCUUCAUUUUUAUUUUCAUAAGAGGCCCCAACUAGUUACCUUAGUCUUUUCUUUUCUUCUUUUUUUUCCUUACUUCUGUUGGAGUAUAUCUUUCUUUUUACUUUCACUCCAACAGAAGUUUUCUUAUUUUUGUUACACUGGCGCCCAACGUGGGGCCAACCGUUUAUGGUUUUAAGACAGUAGUUCUUUUAGUUCAUUUUUAUUUUAUUGGAAUUUUUGUAUUAUUAACUUUUUGAUAUCUUUGUAUAUAUGUUAUUUCUGAUUUAUUUUUGUCUUUAAUUUUUAUUAAUAAUAAACAGGUAGACUUAUACUGCUUCUUUUGGUUUUGAUUAGUUUAUUUCGAUACCUCAUUUUUAGUUUUAGUGGUACAGCUCAUAUUUUAGUUUGAAUUUUGUAUUUUUAUUGGAAACGUAUUUGUGUAUUUAGAAUGAAUAUACAUGACUGACAUUAUGUUCUAUUAUUAUGGAUUUUUAGUCCUUCUACCAAUGGUAGUAUGUUUGCACGUACAAUUAAUUAUUGACUAUAUGCAUAUAUUUUUUUUCUAGUAUGGUUAUAUUUUACACCUAACUAGAAAUUAUUUUCAGGAUUUAGGUACUUUAUUUACUAUAUUGAUUUGAUUUUUAUAUAUUUUGCUGGCAUUUUGAUUUGUUGGUGUGUCGCUAAUAUUUUCUCCAUAUGUAUAUUUGUCUUACAAACUUUAGAUUAUAUUUUAUAUUUGUUAUUUUUGAUAUUUGGGUUGUUUGGUAAGACAGGCACACACCACAAAGCAAUAUCAGUCCAGACAUUAGUUUCUAUACAUGAUACGUUGAAUUCGCAUGGUUCGGAUGGUUACAGAUGGUCAUCCAAACUAUUUUUCUUUAAUUGGUAGUGUUAAACAUAACAAUUAUAAUUAUUGUAUGAUAAAGUAGUUCCAUUAUCCAUCUCAGUUUCUAGUUUUGUUAAUGUUGGUAAUAUUAUACCAGUGUGGGUACCAUAAUAUAAUGCUCAUAGAAAUCAGAUACUUUAGGUUGAGAUUUAAAUAUAAAUUCUUUAUUAGUUAGGAAACAUUGAUUCUAUUUUUCUAUUAAGUUAUAGAACAAUCUUCAGAAGAAGAUUACCUUAACAGUGUUGUUCAAGCUAAUCUCUUCUUCUGUUUGUCUUUAGCUUAGCUCAAUCUUUAGUAUGGUUAGAAAUUUUAGUCUGAUAUUUUUUUUGUCAUCUGAUAAUGCAGGUACCUACAUACAUUGCUUGAUUUCAUCUUUGGCUUUGUUGUUGAUGACUUUUAAUUUAUUACUUAUUAAUUUAAUUAUUAUGUAGUACUUUAUGUAUGAGUUUAACUUUUUUUUGGUAUUAGGCAUGGUGCAUUGUAAUUAUUAUUAUGAGUCAAUGUUAUUAAUUGCUAAUCCUGUCAGUAGGAUUAUACAAUUAAUCAGAACUUCACUUGUAUUUUUGUUUAGUUUUUGCACACCUAACCCCUUAAGUUAGAAGGGUUGUUGAAUUACUGUAUAUUUAUAUACUUAUUUGGACAGGUAAGCUCAUACAAGUACUCUUGUUUAAUAUGGAUAUUAUUAUGGAACUGUAUGUUAGGCACUACUUAUCUCAGGUUAUGUGUUAUAUUAUUUGGAAUAUUUGAUUACUUACUAAUUUUUUUUGAUCAUAUUUAUAUCUUAUUAUUGAAUUUGCCAUAUUGGAAAGAUGUGGUUUUUAAUUUGUUAUUGGGUUACUCUAUUAACAUUAUUUGUCUCCAAUAUCUUAAACACUUUAUAAUAAUUUAUAUCCUUCUAUCCUACACAGUAUGAUUCUGGAAUUAGUUUGGAAUUUUUAUGUAAGUAGGUAUGAAUUCUUGAGUCUUUCAUAUUUCUUCUUAGAAACUACUUAGUCUAUUGAUGCUCAAAGUUGGUGAAUACGUGGGUUCGAAGUUCAGCAAGGCGCCAUUGCUAUCCGAUUUCGCAAUCUAUGUCUUUCAUUGCAGAGUAGACAGAUGUUUAUCUAUCAUAAUAUUUCUGGUCAGGAAAUGCCUGCAGCAUGUCCUAACUAUUCUUGUCUAAUUAGUCCAAUUAUUCCAGUUACAUAUUUACAAUUUGAUAGGGAAGUGUUUAGUUUAUAUUAUGUCUCGUACUUCAUAGUAUGUCUGUUUGUUGACUAUCCCUAUACAUAGUAGAUCCCUUAAUUUAGUAUUUGAGGUGUUUAGACAAAUGAGUUGUUCAUCAGAGUAUAUUCCCACUUCUUUCCUUAGGCAUUAGUUGCUAUUCAGAUUUUGGAACAUUUCCUGAAUAAUUCCACGUAUGUGAGAGCGCAUGAUUCUGCAGUUUUAAUUAAAAUUGGUUGCCCGUUCUCGUCAAUUUUUUUUUUCUAUCACUUAUCACAUAUUUUUUUUUCCUAUCACUUAUCAUAGUGUCAUAAAACUUAUAAGUUCACCAUCCAUUCUAUUUUCUUUCUCACUUAUUCUUACGUUAUAAGUACUUUAUCUGAGUCUGGUUAUUCUCAUACAUCUGUUGUAGCAACAUGCUAUAGUUCGCGAAUACCAGCACGAAUUAGUUUAUGUAGUUUCUAUAAUAUUUUAGUCAAUACACUUUAGGUAUUUAUCUUACUUUUGAUUUAGUUUGAUUACAUCUCUGUUACUUAGUCUGUUAGUAAUUUUUUUUGUGACUUAUUUUGAUUACUUAGUUUAGAUAGGUUCAUAUUACCGGAUGAGGGUGUAUGUAGACCUAAUUUAUUUAUUUUGUUCAGUAUUAGUUACCAUUGGAUCCAAUAAUUUAGUAUAUUUAGUAUUAGUAAGAAUUGGUCCAUAAAUUUGCCUGAUCGUUCUUCUUUGGAUAUACUCCUAUAUAAAUCUGGUGUCCAUUGAUAGUCCGAUUCUGGAUAAGUGUCCGAUUCUUCAUUUAUUUUGUGUAUUUGGUUGGAUAGGUUCGUAUUACCGGAUGUGGGUGUACGUAGACCUGAUCUGUUUAUGUGGUUUAGUAUUGGUGUGAAUUGGUCCAUAAAUUUGCCUGGUCGUUCUUCUUUGGAUAUGCCUUUUAUGAAUCUGGUGUCCACUGAUAGUCCGACUUUGGAUUAAGUGUCCGAUUCCACAUCUAUUUUGGUUAUUGAGUUUUGGAUUCCUUUGGUAUGUUCAGCAUUGGUAUUAUUUGGCAUUAGUGAGAAUUGUUCCAUAAAUCUUCCUGAUUGUUCUUCUCUGGAUAUACUAUUAUGAAUCUGGUGUCCAUUGUUAGUUCAAUUUUGGAUUAAGUGUUCAAUUCUUUACUUAUUUUAGUUACUGAUUUUUUUUUAUUCACUUUGGUAUAUUUACUUUUGAAAUGGUUCGAAUUGGCUCACAUCUUUUUCCUGGUUGUUCCGUCCUUGGAUAUACCCUUUACAAAUCUGAUGUCCAUGGAUAGUUCAAUUUUGGUUUUAGUGCCCAACUCGACACUUAGCAUUAUUAUGAACUUUAGUACAAUAUUUAGUUUUGUUUGACUUUUAAGCAAUAUGUUAAUAUUUGGUAGCAGAGAGUAACAUGUAACAUUUUAGUAUGAAUUUGAGUAAUUUAUUUAUUUUUCCUGAUCAUUAGCUUAUUCUUAUUGGUAAUCUUGCGAAUCAACGUGGAUUGUUAGACUAUUGUAAAUUUAGUUGUUAAUAUUUUGAAGUUUAAAAAAAAAAUUUUUUUUUUCGUUAAAAAUUUUUUUUUCCCGAGUAGGAGGGGAUUGUAACGGUCCACCCGUUAUAUUAUCAUUUUUAGCGCUGUAAUUAUUUUUAAAAAAAUAAUUAUUUUCUCUUGACCUCCCAUUUAAAUUCUUUAAUUUAUCGUAAAGGACUUCUCAUGUGACGUCACACUGUACGGAACAUAGUUGUUGAACCGUUCCUUGUCGUUUAAUUCGUGUUCCGUGAGAGUUUGACGUUUUCCUCGCUGACUGUGGGAGGAAUGAGAGGCACUUGGCCGGUGGCUGCGAGGUUGACAGGUUGGUGUUGGUGGUUAGUACCGUAAAUGGCGGUUAAUUUCUUCGAAAUUAAUUUUUAUUUCAACUAAGUUUGGAAGUAUAGUAAAAAGUUACCACCACUUGUUUCCUGGAGUACGGGUUUCCUGGAGUAAGGAUGGGAGUACCAUCAGUGGAAGAGGAAUAAAAAAUUAACCGCCAUUUGGAAGAAAACUAACCCUCAUGUGAUGUCGUACCCACCUUGACUACCUAGGGAAGCCACCUUGACCUUAUUGCAGCUACCGCCAAGUCAAACUGGGAGUAUGUUUUGGGAACAAGCUUUUUGGGGGACAUUCCAGCUCCUUUUCGUCCUGCCACCUGGGCCUACGGGGGGCAUGGAGGUGCAUCAUAGUGAUGCUCAUUUUCUAGGAUGCAACCGCAACCUCGUUUGGGAACAUUUAGUGAGGAGUUUUAGUAACUAUUGGUUUUUUUUAUAUUUCAGACUAUCUGUUAAAUACACUAUGUUUUUUUUCCAGAUUUAGGUUACCUCUGUUUUUUUUGACAUAUGUAUUUGUAUAUUAGAUUAUUUGGUUCCCAAACUUUGUAUCUACGGUAACUUCUUGUGCACAGGAAUAAGCCUAGAGAAAAUUAGGUUUUUAAUACUUUAUUAUUGCUUUGAUAUUGGUUUAUGUAAUUCGGGUAAAUUUAUUUUGUAACAUUACUUGCUUGUUUCCCAAAUAUUGUAUUUAUUCGCUUUAUUUCGUUUGUUCGGUUACUUCGUCGUUACUUUAUUUCAUUGCAUUUGCUCGGUUAAUUUAGGUCAUUUUGUCGGUAUUUUUCUUAACUUCACUUCUAUAACGUUUAUUCAUUUGUAUAUUUAAUUUUGCUUUAUUCAGUAUUGUAUUUUCUCUUAGUGAGGCUUGGGCCUAUUUAUUUGUAUUAUUUUCAUCUUCGUCGGUUUCCUUUAGUUGUACGUAGCAGGCGUACUAUAACCAUUUGGUAGAAGACUUAUGUAAUUUUGUACCCUAUAUGUUAGUGAGAGGUACUUAUACCUGUAAUUUUGUAACAGGUAACAUUGUUGUUAUCUUAGGUUGAACAUAACUUUUGCAAACUUUUGUCAUGUUAGAGUCACAUAAUAUGAACUUGUUUAACUCAGAGAUUGUUAAAAAUCUAGUAGUUAUUUUUAAUAAAUAUGUAUUUAUUUUGUA